UACAGAGGUCUCUAGCGUUGUUCGGAUUCAUUGGGCGUAAAGGGUGCGUAGGUGGCUUGUUAAGUUGAAGGUGACAUCUCGGGGCUCAACUCCGAAACUGCCUUCAAUACUGGCGAGCUCGAGGACUGUAGAGGAGAAUGGAAUUCACGGUGUAGCAGUGAAAUGCGUAGAUAUCGUGAGGAAGACCAGUGGCGAAAGCGAUUCUCUGGGCAGUUCCUGACGCUGAGGCGCGAAAGCCAGGGGAGCAAACGGG
rnacentral:rRNA from 1 species